CUAUAAUUGGCUCCUUUAUGUCUUCUCUUGCACGCCACGCCAGAGAAGCACAUUCAUCCAUCACCUUCGUCGAAGAAGACAAAGGGAGGCCGCCUGAGAAGACGACGAUAGUGGAGGUCGACGCCGUGAGCAUCGCCACCAACCCAAGUUGACGCCGUCGCCUUUAGGUAUGAUAAAACAAGCUGCCCGUAAGAAAGUAAGUGUUAUACCUUCAUCAUUUUCGUUUGAAAGGCCUGAAUCAGUUGUAUAUGAGUCAUCUGAAGAUGAGGCAGCCCAUCCAUUUGAGAAUGUAAAUGAAGAACCAGUUCAAGAAAAGACAAUGGCCCCUGCCACUGUUGAGAAUGAGCCACUAGCCCCUGUUGCAUUUGAAGUUGAGUAAAUGGCCUCUGUUGUAGUAGAAAAUGAUCCAAGUACCUUUGCUGAAGUUGAGAAUGAACGUAUAGCCCCACCUGCAACUGAAAAUGAGCAUUUACCACAUGAGAAUGUGGAACCAGCAACCCCUGAGUUUGAUGGCAUGCCAGAAUUUGAGUUUGACUAUCAUAGUUUUCCUACCCAACAAAAUUCAACUCGGAGCCACAGAUAUGCAACUCGGAGUGCAAAUUCAAUACCACAGGACAGCCAAGUAGCUGUUGUGAAUGAUGAUGCAUUGUCAAGCCAAACUGAUGAUAGUGACAUGGAAUGGAAAAAAUGAAAAAAAAUGAUACUUCAAGUGAUGAUAACAGUUCUGAAAUAGGCCAAUAUUGUGGUGAAUCUAACAUAGAGGAAGCAUUUGGGGAGUAUUAUGACAGUGGCACCAAUGGAUCUGUUCUCAACUCAAGAGACUCAAUAGAA